rnacentral:rRNA from 1 species
UACAGAGGGUGCAAGCGUUAAUCGGAAUUACUGGGCGUAAAGCGUGCGUAGUCGGUUAUCUAAUUCGGGUGUGAAAUCCCCGGGCUCAACCUGGGAAUUGCAUUCGAUACUGGAUAGCUAGAGUUCGGCAGAGGGAAGCGGAAUUUCGGGUGUAGCGGUGAAAUGCGUAGAUAUCCGAAGGAACAUCAGUGGCGAAAGCGGCUGCCUGGACCAGAACUGACGAUCAGGCACGAAAGCGUGGGGAGCAAACAGG